rnacentral:rRNA from 1 species
CCGGUCGGGGAUGGGCCCGCGGCCUAUCAGCUUGUUGGUGGGGUAACGGCCUACCAAGGCGACGACGGGUAGCUGGUCUGAGAGGACGACCAGCCACACUGGGACUGAGACACGGCCCAG